CCAGGCUUUGUGAAUCCCAGGCUGAAGUUUGGUUGAGUCACAGGAGGGUAAAUAAGGAUGUUUCGGAGACAAAGAGACUCUUAAAGGGGCAGCGCGGGACGUGGCGCGUUCCCGCGGGUCCCCUGAGGUGGCUGCGGGGCGUGGGAGAUGCCCCACGGGGCCCCUGAGUGCAGGAGCCAUGAGGGGAUGAAAACGCAUUUUAUUAGAGACAAAGGGUCUCAGCACUGGGGCCGGGGGGAGAUGCCUGUCACCAGCAAGGGGCAGCCAUGCUUGGGAGUCACCCACACCCACUGGGACAACUCACUGGGACAACUCACAGUUCAGAGGGACCAUCAGGGACCUGCCAGGGAGUGCUGAGUCCUGCUCUCCGGGCAGCGCUGAGCCAGGACAAGGCUGCAAGCAAGGCGUUGUGGACUAUGCAGCACUGAUGACAUGAAGCACAGACUCUUCAAGACUCCUGUAUUGGCAAGGAACCAAGGAUAUUUCUGCAAGCAAGAUGCACACCGCUUCUUCACAAGGAACCCACUGUCCUUUUUGCAAAUCUCCCUUUUUAAAAACGUCCUUAGACCUUCUCUACACCUACCCUUUGUGUCUGGGACACGAGCUGCAAAGCCAGAACCCUGCUACCCAGGAACCAUGAAGGA